UGCAGUCGCGCGGUCAGCAAUGGCAGCGGCGGACGGGUGAGUAACGCGUAGGAAUGUAUCCAGAGGUGGGGGACAACCCCGGGAAACUGGGGCUAAUACCGCAUAUGGGCUGAGGCCCAAAGCAGUAAUGCGCCUUUGGAGCAGCCUGCGUCCGAUUAGGUAGUUGGUGGGGUAAUGGCCUACCAAGCCUUCGAUCGGUAGCUGGUCUGAGAGGACGAUCAGCCACACUGGGACUGAGACACGGCCCAGACUCCUACGGGAGGCAGCAGUGGGGAAUAUUGGACAAUGGGCGAAAGCCUGAUCCAGCAAUGCCGCGUGUGUGAAGAAGGUCUUCGGAUCGUAAAGCACUUUCGACAGGGACGAUGAUGACGGUACCUGUAGAAGAAGCCCCGGCUAACUUCGUGCCAGCAGCCGCGGUAAUACGAAGGGGGCUAGCGUUACUCGGAAUUACUGGGCGUAAAGGGCGCGUAGGCGGCUUGGCCAGUCAGGCGUGAAAUUCCUGGGCUUAACCUGGGGACUGCGCUUGAUACUGUCAGGCUUGAGGCCGAGAGAGGGUGGUGGAAUUCCCAGUGUAGAGGUGAAAUUCGUAGAUAUUGGGAAGAACACCGGUGGCGAAGGCGACCACCUGGCUCGGUACUGACGCUGAGGCG
rnacentral:rRNA from 1 species